GUCGCGGCUGUGGCGGGCGCGGGGCCGCCGCCAUUUUGUGCAGCGGGCGGCGAGGCGCCCGCGCGCCAGCGGGGAGCGGCGCCAUUUCCUGCCCUCCCCCGGCGGGCCGGCGGCGCCUGAGGCGGCGGGGACGGGAGGGCACGGGCAGCGGCGGGCGGCAGGCCCCGGGGAGCGGGUCCGGCUCGGCCGGGGCCAGCCGCGCUCCCCUGGGCCCCGCGGGGCCGCAUGGCCGGGCCGGCGACACCGAGCGCUCUGCCCUUCCUUUCCCGGCCUCCUGCCGCAUGAUCUCCGGCUGCCAUUCCAGCCCGGCUCUGGGGGAGAAGGACGCUGUGUUAAAGCUCUUCCUGGGAGUGCUUAUCUGUUAGCACAAACAGUUUGCUAUGAAAAGCAGAAAUACACAACCAGUGACGAGCCAUUUAAGAUAAAGAAUCCUUGUCUAUCCCAGGUGGACCACAUCACAUCUCAGGAAAUAAUUUAUCAGCCACUUAAUGUGUUUGUCAUACCUGGAGUUCAUCUACCUUCAGAACCAAGAUGCUCCUGAGGUGGCACUCUUGCAGACUCAUGAAAACAUAAGUUUUGCAGUGUCUAAAUUAUGGAGCCAAAGCAUGCAGGAACUCUCUGCAAGUGUUCCAGGCAGACCUCAUCAAAUCAGAUGUGUGUUUCCAGCUGAGCAGAGUUCCACCUGCUACAGACACAUUGCUUCUACUAUUUGAACAAGAAGCUGGAUUCUUACGGGAAAUGCUGUGGCAACAUUUCUGCUCUAUUACAGCAUGCAUUGCAUUAAAAAACUGACCCACUCUGUUACAACGUGGCUACAGGACAAGUACUUCAUACUGCUUUCUGUUUUAAUAUCUUUUUGGCCAAAAGGACAUUUUUUCAGGUAACAAUGCCAGGAACACUGACUACGAAAGACUUACAGUGUUCUUAGACCAUAUACACCAGCUUUAAAGCAAUUUU